rnacentral:rRNA from 1 species
UACGUAGGCAGCGAGCGUUGUUCGGAAUUACUGGGCGUAAAGAGUGUGUAGGCGGUGCUCUAAGUUCGGUGUGAAAUCUCCCGGCUUAGCUGGGAGGGUGCGCCGGAAACUGGAGUGCUCGAGCGUGGGAGAGGAAAGCGGAAUUCCUGGUGUAGCGGUGAAAUGCGUAGAUAUCAGGAGGAACACCUGCGGUGUAGACGGCUUUCUGGACCAUUGCUGACGCUGAGACACGAAAGCGUGGGUAGCAAACAGG